GAUGAACGCUGGCGGCGUGCCUAAUACAUGCAAGUCGAGCGAACGGACGAGAAGCUUGCUUCUCUGAUGUUAGCGGCGGACGGGUGAGUAACACGUGGAUAACCUACCUAUAAGACUGGGAUAACUUCGGGAAACCGGCGCUAAUACCGGAUGAUAUUUUGAACCGCAUGGUUCAAAAGUGAAAGACGGUCUUGCUGUCACUUAUAGAUGGAUCCGCGCUGCAUUAGCUAGUUGGUAAGGUAACGGCUUACCAAGGCAACGAUGCAUAGCCGACCUGAGAGGGUGAUCGGCCACACUGGAACUGAGACACGGUCCAGACUCCUACGGGAGGCAGCAGUAGGGAAGCUUGCGAAAUGGGCGAAAGCCUGACGGAGCAACGCCGCGUGAGUGAUGAAGGUCUUCGGAUCGUAAAACUCUGUUAUUAGGGAAGAACAUAUGUGUAAGUAACUGUGCACAUCUUGACGGUACCUAAUCAGAAAGCCACGGCUAACUACGUG
rnacentral:rRNA from 1 species